rnacentral:rRNA from 1 species
GAUGAACGCUAGCUACAGGCUUAACACAUGCAAGUCGAGGGGCAGCAUGGUCUUAGCUUGCUAAGGCCGAUGGCGACCGGCGCACGGGUGAGUAACACGUAUCCAACCUGCCGUCUACUCUUGGACAGCCUUCUGAAAGGAAGAUUAAUACAAGAUGGCAUCAUGAGUCCGCAUGUUCACAUGAUUAAAGGUAUUCCGGUAGACGAUGGGGAUGCGUUCCAUUAGAUAGUAGGCGGGGUAACGGCCCACCUAGUCUUCGAUGGAUAGGGGUUCUGAGAGGAAGGUCCCCCACAUUGGAACUGAGACACGGUCCAAACUCCUACGGGAGGCAGCAGUGAGGAAUAUUGGUCAAUGGGCGAGAGCCUGAACCAGCCAAGUAGCGUGAAGGAUGACUGCCCUAUGGGUUGUAAACUUCUUUUAUAAAGGAAUAAAGUCGGGUAUGGAUACCCGUUUGCAUGUACUUUAUGAAUAAGGAUCGGCUAACUCCGUGCCAGCAGCCGCGGUAAUACGGAGGAUCCGAGCGUUAUCCGGAUUUAUUGGGUUUAAAGGGAGCGUAGAUGGAUGUUUAAGUCAGUUGUGAAAGUUUGCGGCUCAACCGUAAAAUUGCAGUUGAUACUGGAUAUCUUGAGUGCAGUUGAGGCAGGCGGAAUUCGUGGUGUAGCGGUGAAAUGCUUAGAUAUCACGAAGAACUCCGAUUGCGAAGGCAGCCUGCUAAGCUGCAACUGACAUUGAGGCUCGAAAGUGUGGGUAUCAAACAGGAUUAGAUACCCUGGUAGUCCCACACGGUAAACGAUGAAUAACUCGCUGUUUGCGAUAUACUGCAAGCGGCCAAGCGAAAGCGUUAGGUAUACCACCUGGGGAGUACGCCGGCAACGGUGAUACUCAAAGGAAUUGACGGGGGCCCGCACAAGCGGAGGAACAUGUGGUUUAAUUCGAUGAUACGCGAGGAACCUUACCCGGGCGUAAAUUGCAGAUGAAUUACGGUGAAAGCCGUAAGCCGCAAGGCAUCUGUGAAGGUGCUGCAUGGUUGUCGUCAGCUCGUGCCGUGAGGUGUCGGCUUAAGUGCCAUAACGAGCGCAACCCUUGUUGUCAGUUAGUAACAGGUUCCGGUGAGGACUCUGACAAGACUGCCAUCGUAAGAUGUGAGGAAGGUGGGGAUGACGUCAAAUCAGCACGGCCCUUAUGUCCGGGGCUACACAUGUGUUACAAUGGGGGGUACAGAGGCCCGUUACCACGCGAGUGGAUGCCAAUCCCCAAAACCUCUGUCAGUUCGGACUGGAGUUUGCAACCCGACUCCAGGAAGCUGGAUUCGCUAGUAAUCGCGCAUCAGCCACGGCGCGGUGAAUACGUUCCCGGGCCUUGUACACACCGCCCGUCAAGCCAUGGGAGCCGGGGGUACCUGAAGUGCGUAACCGCGAGGAG